rnacentral:rRNA from 1 species
AGAUUGGACGCCGGCGGCGUGCCUAACACAUGCAAGUCGAGCGGUAACGCGGGAGCAAUCCUGGCGACGAGCGGCGAACGGGUGAGUAAUACUUCGGAAUCUACCCACGGGUGGGGAAUAACCAGCCGAAAGGUUGGCUAAUACCGCAUACGCCUACGGGGAAAGCGGGGGAUCGAAAGACCUCGCGCCGGUGGAUGAGCCGAAGUCGGAUUAGCUAGUUGGUGGGGUAACGGCCUACCAAGGCGACGAUCGGUAGCUGGUCUGAGAGGAUGAUCAGCCACACUGGGACUGAGACACGGCCCAGACUCCUACGGGCGGCAGC